GAGAAUGCAGGAGCAAUAGGCACUCAGUGAUUAAAAGGUCAGCUAGAGUGCUCUGCUAUCAUGUGGUUAGGACUAUCUGAGGAGUCCUCAGUGAGAAGAGGAAGGAGCCCCCACUGACGCCCCCUAGGAUUUGCCUGAUGGAUGCUUAAGGAACUUCACAAGAGAAAGCAAGAACACACAAAAUAAAGUGUCUCUUGGUUCUUAUUAAAACUCUGAGAGGAGCUCAGUCGUCAGCUUAAGGAACAUGAAGAUAAGGUGUCCAUUGUGGAUUUGACAAUAAGAGGUAGAGAAUCAACCAAUCACAGAAUGAUAGAGCCAGAAGGGAAUUUAGUCCAUUGAGUACAACCCUCAGAGUUCAGUUGAGGAAAAUGAGACAAAGAAAGAUGCAGUGAAUCAUCCAAGAUAACACAACACUCUCCAGCCUUUCCAGUCUUCCUCUUUUGGAAGAUGGCAAUAGCUCACUCAGUUGCCUUUGAUUGUAAAUUAACAGCUUCCUGCCAAAGCCCCAGUACAAACAGAACAUAACCACAACAAUUUUGUGAGGUAAGUAGUGUAAAUAUUAUUAGUGCCAUUUUACAAAUGGAGAAAUUGGGACUGUUUGGUUCCAGAGAAGUUAAAUGUCAGAGCCUAGGAAGCCUGGGUUUACUCAUUUUUAUGUACUCCUUUUAUCUACUACUAUACCACAAAGGUCAAGUGUCUUCAUUUUGCAAAUAAGAAAACUAAGGCCCAGAGAGUUACAGUGAUUUUCCCUGGGUCUCACAGUAGUAGUAAGUAGCAAAACUGGAAUUUGAACCAUAUCCCCAGAUUCUAAAGCCAAUCCUCUUCUUCUAUUAUGCUGAAAUGCUCUGAGCUGUGAACAGUGCCCCUCUCAGGGAAGAUUAUAAGAAAAGUCAAAGUAGCUUCUUUUCACCAACUGUUGGGAACCCCUAGGCUAGCUCAAGUAAACUCCUUAAGAGUAAGGAUUCAUUCAGUCUUUGUAUUUAUAUUGCCACAGCCUGGCACAUAGUAAUUAUUAAAAAGCAUAAUAAUAAAUAGUUGUGAAUUGAUUGAUUGCUAGCUAGCAUUCAGACACAUUCAAAGUUCAAUGAGGGGACAUAAAUAAAUUUCCCAAAUGGAUGCAAAAAAUACUAGAUUUUAAGUUCCCCUGAGGUCGAUGAUUGUGUUUGAAAAUAUGAAAGGCAGAAAACUAGGUAUGAGAACUGAGUUCUUGUCCUAUCUCUGUGUGAUUUGGGGGGAAGUCACUUAAGUUCUUAGAGCCUUGGGAAGAAGGCGAGAAGGGAACAAGCAUUUAUAUAGUAUCUACUAUAUGCCAGCCACUAUACUAAGUGCUUUACAAAUAUUAUGUCAUUUGAUCCUUACAACUACCCUGCGAGAAAGGUGCUAUUAUUAUUUCCAUUCUAUAGUUAAGAAAACUGAGGGCUCAGUGGAUUGAAAGCCAGGAAAAUUGAGGCGCACAGCUUAAGUGACUUGGCUAGGGUCAAAAAGUUAGUGAGUGUCUGAAGCCAGAUUUUUAACUUAGGUCUUUCUGACUCCAGAUCCAGUGCUCUACUGUACCACUACCUGCCUUCCACAUUGCAAAAUCAUAGAAUCUCAGAAUUGGAACAGACUUCAAAUAUCAUCUGAUUUAGUCCCUACCUGCAUAGGAAACCCCUUUAUAAUGUUACUCAAAACCAACCAGUAGGCCCUUGCCAGAACUCCAAAGGAACUAAAAUACAUCCCAGGUACACAGUUCUUCUCUCAAGUAAAGGGCAGUAGAGCCAAUUGCUAUUUGAUUACAGCAAUCAUAGUGUUAGAUGGGUCACACAUGACAAGUGGAAACCAUAUGCUCUUACCUGUACUUUUUUUAACUUUUAUUUUCUGUCUUAGAACAAUAUUUUGUACUACUUCAUAGCCAUAAGGAUUUAUGAAAACUGACCCUGGGCAAGUCACUUAACCCCCAUUACCUCGCCCUUACUGCUCUUCUGCCUAAGAACCAAUACACAGUAUUGAUUCUGAGAUAGAAGGUAAGGGUUUAAAAAAGACAAAGCUUCUAUGCUACUCUAAAACAUUGGUGUGGUCAAUCUGUCAUUUAACCAGUUCCAAUUCACAGAUAAAUAGUCAAAAGUAAGACUUGUCUCCGAAUCUAUACAAUGGCUAGGAAAUGUAAAAUUGGACUUGAACUCUGGACUUCAAUCCCCACAAUUCCUUGCUCCACUUCCCCAGAAUGCUUUGUAAUCUCACCUGGGCCAAGAUUGAGAAAGUAUUUAACCUGAUUGCAAAAGCUUUUAGUGCUUUUGGACUUCCGUUUUGGAGCAGAGGCGUCUCUUCCAUGAUGUGAGGUUAUUUUGUCUAGGCCUCUGGCCUAGGCACAUGUUUCUUACUUGUAUAUUCUUUAAUCUUUAACCUUUAAUAAACCUCUAAAAAAUAUAAUACUCCUUGCAGAGAGAAACUAAUUUCUACCUGCCUCAGUCUCCCCAAUAUUCCCUAAUUUUAAUCUUUACAGUUUUGGUGACCACUAGAUUGGAUGAGAACUUCUCAAAUUUUUUAGCCUAGAUAAUGAUUUUUUUAAAGCCACGGUUCUCCAAGAUGCUCUUUAGAAAACCAUCUUGAUCAGCUCCUGCCUGCCCUCUCCGGCUCCUGCUUCUACUCCUGGCCU